GCCUUCAUGAAGCCGGAAUUGCUAGUAAUGGCAGGUCAGCAUACUGCCGUGAAUACGUUCCCGGGCCUUGUACACACCGCCCGUCACACCAUGAGAGUUAGGAAUACCCGAAGCCUGUGAGCCAACUUUAUAAGAGGCAGCAGUCGAAGGUAGAACUAAUGAUUGGGGUGAAGUCGUAACAAGGUAGC
rnacentral:rRNA from 1 species